CUUAAAUAUGCCAAUCCCACACAAUGAUAAUAAGGGAGUUAUCUACUAAACAAUUUAAAUAUCAAAAUUAAGACAAGGGCUUUUAAAGAUAUAUUACUUAUAUACAUUAUCUAUAAUCUAUAUUAUAUAUUUGAUGUGUGGCCCAAGACAAUUCCUCUGCGCUCAAUGGGGCCCAGGAAAGUCAAAAGGUUGGACACCCAUGCUUUACAACAUUAAUUUGUGGUAUAAGCCAAAGGAGUAUGUAAUUCUGGUGACAUCUAAUGUAACAAAUACGCAACUACAGGUGACUUCUAUAAUCACAGAACUCUAUGUCACUCUGUAGCGGUGUUUUGGAUGUCAAUAAAGCUUGUUUGCGUUUCACUUGGGACAUGCAUGCCCGCCGGGCCCUUUUGUACGGUGGCAAUGCAUGAUGAGAUUCUGUGCGCCAGGGCAUGCGACGGAUUCGAAGGAGAUGUCCGUGUGUGCAUGCGCUAUGACCCGAGUGAGGGCUAAGAUCACCGUAUUUAGGAAGAUACAAGUGACGAGAAGUUCAGAUUCAUAUUGGCUCUUGAGGAAGUUCUGUCCGAGACGGGACGAAACACAUAGAGCAGCACCAGCACCAGCAGUAUCAGCAUCUACAUCUUGUACAUAG